GCCUUUGUGGUGUAGUGGUCAGCACGCUCGACUCGAAUUCGAGAAUUUGUGGUUUCGAGUUCCGGUGAGGGCA
rnacentral:tRNA from 1 species